AACUAAAGACAACAACAUUUUAGGCCUUCUGGACCGCGGACACCUGAGACGCUCACGGAGAAGAGGAAGAUGCCGGUGACGGUGUGGUUGAUUUCCAGUGUUACAAAAGGUUUAGAGUGAGAUUUGACUGUGGAAGUGUGGAUUUGACUGGUAAAUCAUCAUUUGGGGAGGAUGGCAACAACUACGCCCACCUCGGCCCCGCCUCUCAAAAAGAGCAGAGGAAAACAGGAAAUAGAAACUCUACAGACAUCCAAUGAAGAGCUGAGGAGCCGAUUGAGUGACUUACAAAAUGAACUGCAACAGGAAAGAGGCAAGGUGGGUAAAUUACGGGAACGUUUGCAAGAGUUACGGGCUCAACGAGAGACUGAGCAGCACAAGCACUCGGUCGCUCUCACUGAACUCCGCGUCAAGCUCCAUGAGGAGAAGCAGCGAGAGGUGGCGGCCACACGAGAGAGCCUAUCUCGGCAACACGAGACCGAGCUGGCCCGGGCAGCACGACUUCGUGAGACAGAACUGGCCCGGCUUCAGGCGCUGGUGUGUAUUUUACGGGACGGAGCCAGCAGCGAGCUACGUAGUGCCCUGAAGGAGGAGGCACGAGAGGAGGCCCGCAGGAGCUACGAGGCAGAGAAACUCAGGCUCACACAGGAGCUGCAGGAGGCGAAGACGUCACGGCGGCAGGCAGAGGAGGCGCUCUCCAAUGCUGUGCAGGCCGACAGAGCCAAAGCUGCCGAUCUCAGAGUGGCCCAUCAAGCUCAUCAGGAGGAGAUCCAGAGAAUCAAACGCGAGAGCGAGAGAGAAAUCCGGAGACUGAUGGAUGAGUUGAAGAGCAGAGAUCGUGUGGUGCAGUCACUGGAAAAAGAGCUGGGAGUGCAGGCGGGACAGACACAGCGUCUACUGCUGCGGAAGGAGGAAGCAGAGCGGCAUUAUGGGAGUCCGAAGAGAGAGGUGGCGCCGUCUCUCGGGGAAAACUCAGACUCUGUCAGUAACCAGGACGUGGAUGAGAGGGAUGCAAGGAGAUUUCACCUGAAGAUUGCUGAGCUGCAGGCAGUCAUCAGGAAACUAGAGGAUAGGAACACCCUGCUUUCAGAUGAGAGAAAUGAACUGCUGAAACGAGUGCGGGAAACAGAAGCAGAGAUAAAGCCUCUCAUGGAGAGGAAUAAACGGCUGAAUAAAAAGAAUGAAGAGCUGCAGCAGACUCUACAGCGCAUGGAGGACAAACUGAAGACACUCAGCAGAGAGAACGCAGAACAGAAAGAGAAAUCCCAGCAGAACUUGCAGUCAGGUGGGCUGAAGAGACACACCUCUCUAACGGACCUGAGUCACGCCCACGAGCAACAGGAAGUCGAGUAUCUGCGCUUGCAAAUCAGCGAGCAGCGUGGUGUUAUUGAUGAGCUCACGCAGGAACGGGACAGGCUGAUAAUCAACAAAAAGAACAGGCGAAAAAACAUCAAGUUGCCCAGGAGGCAUGUUGUGGAGACAUAUUUUGGAUUUGACGAAGAAUCUGUCGAUUCUGAAACGUCAUCUCUGACCUCAUAUAACACCGACCGCACAGAUCACACCCCUGCCACCCCCGAAGAGGAUCUUGAAGAUGGCUUUUCCCGAGAGGAGGCAGAGCUGCGAUUUCGGCAGCUGACACGAGAGUACCAGGCAUUGCAGCGAGCUUACGCACUUCUGCAGGAGACUGUGGGGCCUCUGGACCCUGAGAGACACUGCAGGACACGGGAGCAGCUGCAGACGGAGCUGAUUGGCUGUCAGGCACGGAUUGCCGACCUGGAGCGGAGCUUGGCAGAGAAGGGGCAGGACUCAAAAUGGGUGGAGGAAAAGCAAAAUCUUCUCAGGGUGAACCAGGAACUCAGAGAAAAGAUAGUGUCGCUGGAGCAGUGUGAAAUGCGAUUACGCUCGGAAGUUCAAGACACCCAGGAUCAGAAUGAGCUGCUUGAAUUCCGCAUUCUAGAACUGGAAGAGAGGGAACGCCGUUCUCCUGCCUUUAACCUGCAAAUCUCUGCCUCUGAAAACAACAGUAGCCUACAGCUACACUGCCAGCAAGAGGGUGUCAAGGAUGUCAUCAUUCCUGACCUCAUGAAAAAGCUUGACAUUCUUGGGGAUAAUGGGAACUUGCGAAACGAGGAGCAAGUGACAGUCAUUCAAGCAGGCACUGUGCUGUCUUUAUGUGAAAAGUGGCUGAACCAGAUCGACAGCACUGAGGCAGCCCUGACACAGAAAAUGAUUGAUCUGGAGAAUGAAAAGGAGCUGUUCAGUAAACAGAAAGGUUUCCUGGAAGAGGAACUAGACUACAGGAAGCAAGCUCUCGAUCAGUCCCAACUGAUCUCCCUAUUGUCCUCCUUAACCUUAACCACUCAUUAACCACUUCAAGGAGGCAUUUGGCUCUGCUGCUGGUGAGAUCUCAGUCUCUGAUCAACUGCUGUGGUUGCGUCAAGGAGAUACAUCAACAAGUGAGUACACCAUCCAAUUCCGGACUCUGGUGGCUAGCGGAUGGAGCGCAGCUCUCCUGAGCGCCUAUCGUCAAGGACUUAAUCCCCUUAUCCGUGCUCAAAUGGCAAUCUAUGAGGAUUCCAUUGGUCUGGAGAGCUUCAAGCUGAAAGCCAACCACAUCUCCCAACACCUAGCCGCCUGCCACACCGCUGAAGCCGCCCACCAGUCUGGCUCUCCUGCCAGUGGCCCUCCAGUACCUGAGCCUAUGCAAGUGGAUUCUACCCGACUAUCUUCCGAGGAAUGCAUCGCAGGCUCGCGGCUGGACUCUGCCUUUAUUGUGCCGCACCUGUUUAUGUCAUCUGAGCCUGCCCUGUCAAGCCCCCACAUCCUAUGCUCUGGUCAAUUCGGGCUCCUCGGAACUUCAUCUCGAACAGCCUCCUAAUUCGGCUCCAGCUGCCAUGCUGUCGUCAUGCCCAGGAGCUUCAAGUGGAGAUGAUUCAGGGAAAAUCGUUAGGACGUGGGCGGGUGAGGUUCCAGGCCCCUCCUAUGACUCUUAAAAUUGGGCUCUUUCAUGAAGAAGAAAUUAACUUUCUGGUACUGGAGGGACCCACUGUGGAUAUCAUCCUGGGAUGCCCCUGGCUCAUUCAACAUUCUCCGGAGAUCAGAUGGGAUACCUGUGAGGUGGUGCGUUGGAGCCAGUUCUGCCACCAACACUGUCUCACUGCCCUUCCACCUCCGCCACUCCAGUCACUGGUUGCUUCCAUGCUCAUUGAGAGUCCUGAGCCGAGUGUGGCUCUGACUAUCCUGUCUGAUUAAUUCUUGGCGUUCCAGGAUGUCUUUAGCAAGCAGGCAGCCACACAUUUACCACCUCAUCGGCCAUGGGACUGUGCCAUCGACCUGCUGCCUGAAGCGAAACUCCCCAAGGGUAGAGUGUACCCAAGCUUCUUCGUGGGCAAAAGUGAGCCAACCACCCGUUCACAGUCAUCACCGACCAUAAGAACCUCCAAUAGCUCUGCGAUGCCAAAAGGCUCAAUCCCCGGCAGGUCCGCUGGGCCCUAUUCUUCACCCGCUUCAAUUUCCUACCCGCCCCAGAAACCGGAAUUGCAAUGCUGACGCCCUGUCACGUAUACACUCCCAAGAUGCUCCAUCGGACCCCGAGCCAAUACUCCCUCCAGCCAUGGUUGUCAGCCCCAUCAUCUGGACCACACGGACCAAAACAGCUCCGCUGGGAGGCCCAGAAGGGAGGACUUGCGUCCCAAGGUCCCAACGGCAAUCCCUUCUGGGCUCACAUCACAGUAUACUGGGCUAUGGACAUCCAGGCAGCCAACAGACCCUCUCGCUCCUCCAAGCUCGGUACUGGUUCGCUAAGUAUGUCCGGGGAUGUCAUCGGGUACGUCCAUAGUUGCUCAGUCUGUGCCAUGUCUUUCACUCCUCGUCAUCUCCCAGCAGGCAAGCUCGUGCCCCUACCUGUUCCUCAGAGGCCCUGGUCCCACCUGGUGAUCGACUUUGUGACUGACCUGCCAGAAUCCGAAGGUAACACAUGUGUCUUGGUGGUUGUGGAUCGCUUUCCUUAAGCCUGUAAAUUAAUUCCCUUGCCAGGAUUGCCGACCACCCUAGAAACAGCUGAACACUUAUUCUCCCAUGUCUUCUGGAACUUCGGACUGCCAGAGGAUAUCGUAUCAGACCGGGGUCCCCAGUUCAUUUCCCUGGUGUGGAAGGCCUUCUUCCACCUGCUAGGGGUCACUGUUAACUUGCCUUCCGGAUACCAUCCCCAGACGAAUGGCCAGACUGAGCGGAAGAUCCAAGAACUCGGACGCUACCUCCGGGCAUACUGCCAGGAAGACCAGCACAGCUGGAACCGCUUCCUUCCCUCUGCCGGCUACCAACCUCCACUAUUCCCAUGGACAGGAGAACCAUCUGAAGUUCCAGCUGUGGACUACAGGUUCCGAGCAAACGAGAGAGUGUGGGACUCAGCUCAUGUCCACCUCCAGCGCGCAGUACGGAGACAAAAAGCCUUCGCGGAUGCUCGACGCACCUCCACUCCCGUUUACCAACCUGGGGACAAGCUAUGGCUUUCAACCCGGGAUCUGCGUCUCUGUCUGCCAUGCAGGAAGCUGAGUCCCUGCUACAUUGGUCUGUUCAUGGUCGAGAGGCAGAUCAACAAAGUCACCUACAGGCUACACCUACCUCCCCAGGUACCGAAUUCACCCCACUUUCCAUGUGUCACUACUGAAGCCCUUCUCUCCUGCCACUCCACACACCUUGGAACCAAAGGUACCCCCUCCUCCGGAGAUCCUCAACCAGCCAUCAGUAUACCAAGUCAAGGACAUCUUGGACUCGCGGGGAUGGGGUGCCUGGCUCAAGUACCUGCUUGACUGGGAGGGGUAUGGACCAGAGGAGCUUUCCUGGGUGGCCCGGGACAACAUCCUGGAUCCCAUGCUGCUGGAGGAAUUCCAUCGAGUCCAUCCAAACCGUCCCGCACCCAGAGGCCGAGGUCGCCCUCGUCGUCACAUCAGGGCGUCAGGAGCUGCCCCUGGAGGAGGGGGUAGUGUCAGGGAUUCACCAUCACAGCUACCUUAAUCAUCACCUGCACCUGCUCCCAAUCACUCCCGAUCCCAAUCGCCGGAGUACUGAUCACCUGCACCCAGCAAUCACCCUUCACUAUACAGCCCUCAUCACGCCAGUACUCUGGCAUCCUGUCUACUGUUCACUACACUAAACAGUUGCCAGACUCCUCCACUACAAGUGCUUUCUCUGCCCUCAGAUCUCCCUACCAUCCUCCUGUGAUUCUCCUACGUUGUCUCCCUGUGUUUCAAGAACCUGGACUCUGUGCAUGCUCCCUCAGUGACUUCCUAUUCAUUAUUCAUUCCAUCCUGUUAAUAAACUUCAUCUUAUCACUAACCCUCUGUCUCCACCCUGGUUUGUGACAGUCAUGUUGGUGUGGUACAGUAGUUAAACACAGGAAGGGUACAAUAAGUACCUUAAUUUCUUUUUAGAAAGUGACAGGACAUCAAUUUGUACCAUAUUUGUGGCAAGGGCCAGUUUGACCAAAAGUAUAUGACAAAUUCAUGAAAAGAUGUGGACUGUUUAAAAAUCAAUUUCAACUAAACUUCGGGCCAAACUCAUUACCAUUU